rnacentral:rRNA from 1 species
CACGGGGGGGGCAAGCGUUGUUCGGAAUUACUGGGCGUAAAGGGCUCGUAGGUGGCCAACUAAGUCAGACGUGAAAUCCCUCGGCUUAACCGGGGAACUGCGUCUGAUACUGGAUGGCUUGAGUUCGGGAGAGGGAUGCGGAAUUCCGGGUGGAGUGGUGAAAUGCGUAGAGAUCCGGAGGAACACCGAAGGCGAAGGCAGUGUCCUGGCUGGUGACUGACGCUGAGGUGCGAAAGCUAGGGGAGCGAACGGG